rnacentral:rRNA from 1 species
UUAGAGUUUGAAUCCUGGCUCAGAUUGAACGCUGGCGGCAGGCCUAACACAUGCAAGUCGAGCGGUAGAGAGAAGCUUGCUUCUCUUGAGAGCGGCGGACGGGUGAGUAAUGCCUAGGAAUCUGCCUGGUAGUGGGGGAUAACGUUCGGAAACGGACGCUAAUACCGCAUACGUCCUACGGGAGAAAGCAGGGGACCUUCGGGCCUUGCGCUAUCAGAUGAGCCUAGGUCGGAUUAGCUAGUUGGUGAGGUAAUGGCUCACCAAGGCGACGAUCCGUAACUGGUCUGAGAGGAUGAUCAGUCACACUGGAACUGAGACACGGUCCAGACUCCUACGGGAGGCAGCAGUGGGGAAUAUUGGACAAUGGGCGAAAGCCUGAUCCAGCCAUGCCGCGUGUGUGAAGAAGGUCUUCGGAUUGUAAAGCACUUUAAGUUGGGAGGAAGGGCAGUUACCUAAUACGUGAUUGUUUUGACGUUACCGACAGAAUAAGCACCGGCUAACUCUGUGCCAGCAGCCGCGGUAAUACAGAGGGUGCAAGCGUUAAUCGGAAUUACUGGGCGUAAAGCGCGCGUAGGUGGUUAGUUAAGUUGGAUGUGAAAUCCCCGGGCUCAACCUGGGAACUGCAUUCAAAACUGACUGACUAGAGUAUGGUAGAGGGUGGUGGAAUUUCCUGUGUAGCGGUGAAAUGCGUAGAUAUAGGAAGGAACACCAGUGGCGAAGGCGACCCACCCUGGACUGAUACUGACACUGAGGUGCGAAAGGGCGUGGGAGCAA